rnacentral:rRNA from 1 species
GACGAACGCUGGCGGCGUGCCUAAUACAUGCAAGUGGGACGCAAGGAAACACACUGUGCUUGCACACCGUGUUUUCUUGAGUCGCGAACGGGUGAGUAACGCGUAGGUAACCUGCCUAUUAGCGGGGGAUAACUAUUGGAAACGAUAGCUAAUACCGCAUAAUAUUAAUUAUUGCAUGAUAAUUGAUUGAAAGAUGCAAGCGCAUCACUAGUAGAUGGACCUGCGUUGUAUUAGCUAGUUGGUAAGGUAAGAGCUUACCAAGGCGACGAUACAUAGCCGACCUGAGAGGGUGAUCGGCCACACUGGGACUGAGACACGGCCCAGACUCCUACGGGAGGCAGCAGUAGGGAAUCUUCGGCAAUGGACGAAAGUCUGACCGAGCAACGCCGCGUGAGUGAAGAAGGUUUUCGGAUCGUAAAGCUCUGUUGUAAGUCAAGAACGUGUGUGAGAGUGGAAAGGU